rnacentral:rRNA from 1 species
UACGGAGGGUGCAAGCGUUGCUCGGAAUCACUGGGCGUAAAGCGACCGCAGGCGGCCUGACAAGUCGGAUGUGAAAGCCCUGGGCUCAACUCAGGAAUUGCAUUCGAAACUGGCAGGCUCGAGUACGGGAGAGGGGGGUGGAAUUCCUGGUGUAGGGGUGAAAUUCGUUGAUAUCAGGAGGAACACCGGCGGCGAAGGCGGCCCCCUGGCCCGCAACUGACGCUCAUGCACGAAAGCGUGGGGAGCAAACAGG